rnacentral:rRNA from 1 species
ACCUCCAAUAGCGUAUAUUAAAGUUGUUGCGGUUAAAAAGCUCGUAUUUGGAUUUCUGCUGAGGACGACCGGUCCGCCCUCUGGGUGAGUAUCUGGCUCGGCCUUGGCAUCUUCUUGGAGAACGCAACUGCACUUGAGUGUGUGGUGUGGUAUCCAGGACUUUCACUUUGAGGAAAUUAAAGUGUUUCAAGCAGGCGCACGCCUUGAAUACAUUAGCAUGGAAUGAUAAGAUGAGACCUUGGUUAUAUUUUGUUGGUUUCUAAAGCUGAGGUAAUGAUUAAUAGGGAUAGUUGGGGGCAUUCGUAUUUAACUGCCAGAGGUGAAAUUCUUGGAUUUGUUAAAGACAGAUUACUGCGAAAGCAUUUGGCAAGGAUGGUUUCA